GUAAACACAAUGACUGCAAAGGAAACUGAGCUGCAGAGGGAAAUGCAUGAGAUGGCACAGAAAACAGCAGAGCUGCAAGAAGAACUCAGUGGAGAGAAAAAUAGGCUAACUGGAGAGUUACAGUUACUGUUGGAAGAAAUAAAGAGCAGCAAAGAUCAAUUGAAGGAGCUCACACUAGAAAAUAGUGAAUUGAAGAAGAGCCUAGAUUGCAUGCACAGAGACCAGGUGGAAAAGGAAGGGAAAGUGAGAGAGGAAAUAGCUGAAUAUCAGCUACGGCUUCAUGAAGCUGAAAAGAAACACCAGGCUUUGCUUUUGGACACAAACAAACAGUAUGAAGUAGAAAUCCAGACAUACCGAGAUAAAUUGAAUUCUAAAGAAGAAUGUCUCAGUUCACAGAAGUUGGAGAUGGACCUUUUAAAGUCUAGUAGAGAAGAGCUCAAUAAUUCAUUGAAAGCUACUACUCAGAUUUUGGAAGAAUUGAAGAAAACCAAGGAACAAUGAAGGUGAACCCUAGUGUCAGGAUUGCUAGUCUCAAGAUGGUACCACUGUAAUUCUACUUGGAAAAGGAGGUGUUUUCAUUCCUACAGACAUUUUUCAUAAGAUAAAUACCCACAGUGUAUAAUAAUGAACCUGGAUAAUAAAUAUCUUCCAGCAAAUAUUUUACUUAGAAGAUGAUUAUAUUUUUUAAAUUUUGAGAUUAAUUGAAUAUAUACAAAUAGAAAACUAGGUAUAAAUUUAUUAUGUUUAUGGCUCUUACACAACUAUCAAGGUAAAGGAAAUUUACCAAUUAAAUACAAAGUAGUAAAAUUCCAAAUCACAAUAAUUAAUAAUGUUCUGCUGCUACAAAAUGAGAUGUUGGGUUUAAUAAUAGAAAGAAGUAGCACUGUUGAAAUAGAAUUAAAUGGGUCUUGGAUUCAUUUGUGAUUGGAAUCAGAAGUAGCGAGUUCUGAAAGGGUAAGGUUUACUGCAACAUUGCCAAUAAUUUCAAGAUGAAAUAUACAAUGAUGAGAUCCAAGCUCUAACAUUUACUUGCAACAUGAAUAUGGUACUGGGUUCUUCUCCGUCCCCCAUCCUCAUUCCCCCUCCUCCUCCUGCUGCUGUUUGGUCUUCCUUUGGAAAUUCAUGAUGCCAUAUCAGAUGGUUUUAGAAUUCUGCAUUUUAAUAAUAUAAUGCAUAUGCCAUAUAUAAUAUCCCAGUGGGAUCUGCUAUAAUAUUGCAUAAUCAAAUUCAUAUUUCUGCAGCAAAAUGUGUGGAUAUUCUCACAAGACAGGAUAAAGAGAGACUAUACAUACUGGGCCAGGUGUGGUGACUUAUGCCUAGAAUCCCAGCACUUUGGGAGGCCAGGGCAGGAGGAUCACUUGAGGCCAGGAAUUUGAGACCAGCUUGGGCAACAUAGUGAGACCUCAUCUCUUAAAAAAAAAG
rnacentral:sRNA from 1 species